UGGUUUGUAGAGAUUCUGUUAGUU
rnacentral:piRNA from 1 species